rnacentral:rRNA from 2 species
AGAGUUUGAUCCUGGCUCAGGAUGAACGCUAGCGGCAGGCUUAAUACAUGCAAGUCGAGGGGCAGCGCGGGUAGCAAUACCCGGCGGCGACCGGCAAACGGGUGAGGAACAUGUACGCAACCUUCCUUUAACUGGAGGAUAGCCCAUCGAAAGAUGGAUUAAUACUCCGUAACAUACUGAUAAGGCAUCUUAUUAUUAUUAUAGCUCCGGCGGUUAAAGAUGGGCGUGCAACUGAUUAGAUAGUUGGUGAGGUAACGGCUCACCGAGUCAGCGAUCAGUAACUGGUGUGAGAGCACGACCAGUCACACGGGCACUGAGACACGGGCCCGACUCCUACGGGAGGCAGCAGUAAGGAAUAUUGGUCAAUGGACGCAAGUCUGAACCAGCCAUGCCGCGUGGAGGAUUAAGGCCCUUGGGUUGUAAACUCCUUUUAUCUGGGAAGAAAUGCAUUUUUUCUAAAGUGCUUGACGGUACCAGAGGAAUAAGCACCGGCUAACUCCGUGCCAGCAGCCGCGGUAAUACGGAGGGUGCAAGCGUUAUCCGGAUUUACUGGGUUUAAAGGGUGCGUAGGCGGAUAGGUAAGUCAGUGGUGAAAUCUCGGAGCUUAACUCGGAAACUGCCGUUGAUACUAUUUAUCUUGAAUACUGUGGAGGUAAGCGGAAU